UACGGAGGGUGCGAGCGUUGUCCGGAAUCACUGGGCGUAAAGCGCACGUAGGCGGCUUUGUAAGUUAGAGGUGAAAGCCCGGGGCUCAACUCCGGAAUUGCCUUUAAAACUGCAUCGCUAGAAUUGUGGAGAGGUAAGUGGAAUUCCGAGUGUAGAGGUGAAAUUCGUAGAUAUUCGGAAGAACACCAGUGGCGAAGGCGACUUACUGGACACAUAUUGACGCUGAGGUGCGAAAGCGUGGGGAGCAAACAGG
rnacentral:rRNA from 1 species